GUUUUUCAUCAAUAUGUUAUAGUUUUAAAUAAUUUUCUUAAAAUUUGCUAUUUUUGGAAAGUUUUCAUUUAUUCAAGAAAUACUAUAGAUUUGAGUUUGUGAUUUAGAAAUUAGGAUGAAAAGAAUAUUUGUGAACAGUUGAGUAUUGUUUCAGAGUUUUUCAUCAUUAGCUUGUAUUUUUAAAUAAUUUUCUUAAAAACUGCUAUUUUUGGAAAGUUUCAUUUUUUUGAGGAAUAUUGUAGAUUUGGGUUUGUUAUUUAGAAAUUCGGAUAAAAAUAAUAUUUGUGGAUAGUUGAGUAUUUUUUCUGAGUUUUUCAUGAAUAUAUUGUAUUUUUAAAUGAUUGUUUUAAAAACUACUAUUUUCGGAAAGUUUUCACUUACUAGAGAAAUAUUGUAGAUUAGAGUUUGUGAUUUAGAAAUUAGAAAAAAGGGAAUAUUUCUAGAUAGAUGAGUAUUUCAUCAAUAUAU
rnacentral:lncRNA from 1 species